rnacentral:lncRNA from 1 species
AGUGGGAGAGGUUGAUGCCCAACCCGUUCUUACCUCAGUGGAAAGUUUUGUACUUCAACUAUCACGAUAUCUACUCAUGCCUUACAUGCCAGCUCUAUGAUUAUAGUUCGUAUUUGUGCACCUUAUCAAAAAUUAUAUACGUUUACAAUUUCUAGUAUAAGGAGUUCCAGAUUCCUCAAUGUUACGAAUCAUGUUCCAUGAAUACAG